rnacentral:rRNA from 1 species
CGUCGACGCUGGCGGCGUGCCUAAUACAUGCAUGUCGAGCGGACAGAUGGGAGCUUGCUCCCUGAUGUUAGCGGCGGACGGGUGAGUAACACGUGGGUAACCUGCCUGUAAGACUGGGAUAACUCCGGGAAACCGGGGCUAAUACCGGAUGGUUGUUUGAACCGCAUGGUUCAAACAUAAAAGGUGGCUUCGGCUACCACUUACAGAUGGACCCGCGGCGCAUUAGCUAGUUGGUGAGGUAACGGCUCACCAAGGCAACGAUGCGUAGCCGACCUGAGAGGGUGAUCGGCCACACUGGGACUGAGACACGGCCCAGACUCCUACGGGAGGCAGCAGUAGGGAAUCUUCCGCAAUGGACGAAAGUCUGACGGAGCAACGCCGCGUGAGUGAUGAAGGUUUUCGGAUCGUAAAGCUCUGUUGUUAGGGAAGAACAAGUACCGUUCGAAUAGGGCGGUACCUUGACGGUACCUAACCAGAAAGCCACGGCUAACUACGUGCCAGCAGCCGCGGUAAUACGUAGGUGGCAAGCGUUGUCCGGAAUUAUUGGGCGUAAAGGGCUCGCGGCGGUUUCUUAAGUCUGAUGUGAACGCCCCCGGCUCAACCGGGGGAGGGUCAUUGGAAAACUGGGGAAACUUGCGUGCAAGAAGAUGAAAGUGAAAUUUCCACGUGUAGCCGUUGAGAGGCGUAAAAAUCGUGAGAAACACCAUUGGCGAAUGCGACUUGUUGGUCUGAACUGAC